UACGUAGGUGGCAAGCGUUGUCCGGAUUUACUGGGCGUAAAGAGCGCGCAGGCGGUCGUUCAAGUCGCGUGUGAAAGCCCCCGGCUCAACUGGGGAGGGUCACGCGAUACUGAUCGACUCGAAGGCAGGAGAGGGUAGUGGAAUUCCCGGUGUAGUGGUGAAAUGCGUAGAUAUCGGGAGGAACACCAGUGGCGAAGGCGGCGUCCUGGCUCGCAUCUGACGCUCAGACACGACAGCAUGGGGAGCGAACGGG
rnacentral:rRNA from 1 species